GACGAACGCUGGCGGCGUGCCUAAUACAUGCAAGUAGAACGCUGAAGGAGGAGCUUGCUUCUCCGGAUGAGUUGCGAACGGGUGAGUAACGCGUAGGUAACCUGCCUGGUAGCGGGGGAUAACUAUUGGAAACGAUAGCUAAUACCGCAUAAGAGUAGAUGUUGCAUGACAUUUGCUUAAAAGGUGCAAUUGCAUCACUACCAGAUGGACCUGCGUUGUAUUAGCUAGUUGGUGGGGUAACGGCUCACCAAGGCGACGAUACAUAGCCGACCUGAGAGGGUGAUCGGCCACACUGGGACUGAGACACGGCCCAGACUCCUACGGGAGGCAGCAGUAGGGAAUCUUCGGCAAUGGACGGAAGUCUGACCGAGCAACGCCGCGUGAGUGAAGAAGGUUUUCGGAUCGUAAAGCUCUGUUGUAAGAGAAGAACGAGUGUGAGAGUGGAAAGUUCACACUGUGACGGA
rnacentral:rRNA from 1 species